GAUGAACGCUGGCGGCGUGCCUAAUACAUGCAAGUCGAGCGAACAGACGAGGAGCUUGCUCCUCUGACGUUAGCGGCGGACGGGUGAGUAACACGUGGAUAACCUACCUAUAAGACUGGGAUAACUUCGGGAAACCGGAGCUAAUACCGGAUAAUAUAUUGAACCGCAUGGUUCAAUAGUGAAAGACGGUUUUGCUGUCACUUAUAGAUGGAUCCGCGCCGCAUUAGCUAGUUGGUAAGGUAACGGCUUACCAAGGCAACGAUGCGUAGCCGACCUGAGAGGGUGAUUGGCCACACUGGAACUGAGACACGGUCCAGACUCCUACGGGAGGCAGGAGUAGGGAAUCUUCCGCAAUGGGCGAAAGCCUGACGGAGCAACGCCGCGUGAGGGAUGAAGGUCUUCGGAUCGUAAAACUCUGUUAUUAGGGAAGAACAAAUGUGUAAGUAACUAUGCACGUCUUGACGGUACCUAAUCAGAAAGCCACGGCUAACUACGUG
rnacentral:rRNA from 1 species